CGAUCUCCCCCACCACUCCCCCAUCUCCUCCGACGCUUCCCAAAUCCCCGUCAUCGACAUGUACAACUUGUGCUCCCAUGAUACAAUGGAUUCCGAGUUGUCUCGCCUUCACUCCGCCUGCAAAAUUUGGGGAUUCUUUCAGUUGGUGAAGCACGGAGUGAGCGAUUCGUUGAUGGAGAGAAUGAAGAUGGAAACUCAGAAAUUGUUCGAACUUCCGAUUGAAGAGAAGAAAAAGCUAUGGCAGAGAGAAGGUGAUGUAGAAGGAUUUGGACAAGCUUUCGUUAGAAGUGAAGAACAAAAAUUGGAUUGGUGUGAUAUUUUCUUCAUGGCUACAUCGCCUUUACAUUUCAGGAAUCCCCGACUGUUUCAAAAUCUCCCUCUCUCUUUGAGGUCCGAUAAUUCCUUCCAUUACAAAACCUUUUAAGUGAUUCUCAAACUCAUAAUUAUAAUCAUAGAAAUUGAACUCCGGACUCACUCUAAACAAAAUUAAUCUUGUAAUUUAAGCAAGUGGGAAUCAAAAGAAAUAAUCCAUUAUGGGUUAAAACAAUGUUGAUUAAUUUAAUUAAUAUUAAAAGAAGAAUUAGGAAAUAAUAUCGAAAAAUAUCUACGCUGCUCUAGAGUGUCCUGAAUGGAAAAAUGCUGUUAUGGAAGAGAUGAAGGUUCUUGAAAAGAAUAGAACUUGGGAGAUGUGUGCUCUACCCAAGGAACAUAAAACUGUAGGAUGCAAAUGGGUGUUCUCUCGCAGAUGGUACACUUGAUAGACACAAGACAAGGUUAGUUGCAAAGGGGUUUACUCAGACAUAUGGUAUUGACUAUUCAGAAACCUUUUCUCCAGUUGCUAAGUUGAAUAUUGUUAGAGUCUUGCUAUUUGUUGUUGUGAACAAAGAUUGGCCUCUGUACCAGCUGGAUGUUAAGAAUGAUUUUUUGAAUGGAGACCUUGUGGAGGAAGUCUACAUGAGCCCACGCCAAGAUUUGAAACCCAAUUUGGUCAGCAGGUGUGUAAACUCCAAAAAUUCGUAUAUGAUCUGAAACAGUCUCCGAGAGCAUGGUUUGGCAGAUUAUCACUUGCAUUCAUCAUCAACAUUGGCGACAUCUUGGAGAACGAUGUUUGUUCGAAGUCUGACACCUCGUAGUACUUUCAGAUAGAAAUCAACCAAGAGAGAGAUGGACUUGACUGUGCCGCAUUGAAGAUGAAGAUCGACUGCGCCGCAUUGAAGAUGAUCAUCGUGUGUACUGCAUUGAAGAGGAUGAUCGUCUACGUUGCGUUGCAUAGAAGAUGAUGAUCGUCUACGUCGCAUUGAAGUGAUGAUCGUCUACGCUGCGAUAUUGAAGAUGAUGAUCGCCCGCGUCACGUUGCAUUGAAGAUGAUGAUUGUCUGCGUCGUUCUACAUUGAAGAUGAUGAUCGCGCGCGCCACACUAAAGAUGAUGAUCACCUGUGUCGCAUUGAAGAUGAUGAUUGCUUGCGUCGCAUAAAGAUGAAGAUGUUGAUCGCCUCGGCUACAACACAUGUGAGAAAAUGAAGAUGAUGCUCUUCUCGGUUGCAACGUUCUAAGAUGACGAUCUUAUCUGUUGUAACAUAUUUGAGACGACGACCUUCUCGGCUGCAACAUUUUUUGGGACGACGACAUUCUCGACUACAACAUAUUUGAGACGACGAUCUUCUCAGCUGCAACCUAUUUGAGACGACGAUCUUCUCGAUUGUAACAUAUUUGAGAUGAUCAUCCUCUUGAUGCAAUCUAUUGGAGAUGAGGAUCUUUUUACUGCAACAUAUUUGCGAUGAUGAGCUUCUCGGUUGCAACACAUGUGUGAAGAUGAAGAUCCUCUCAGCUGCAACACAUGGAAAGAUCCUCGUCUGCAACAUAUCGAAGAGGAGUAGAGCUCGCUAGUCAACAUUUUAGAGAGAGGCAAAGCUGCACCUGCAACGAUGAAGUUUAAAGCUUUUGAACUUGAACUUGAAGAAGCAACGGCGAAGUUUCUUGAGGAAGAUGAAGCUAGCUAUCUUAAGAAGGUAGACAAUUAAACAUCUCUGUUGUCACCAAAGAAGCCACCGAGGCCUAGCUACGGUUCAUAAGAGUCUGGAGGCUACACGCAAAGAUUUUAAGAACUUUAAGGGGAAGCUUUAACUUUUGUCCCCAUUCUUUUUUUUCUCUUUCGUUGUAUUCUUGUAAAUGCAAAAUUUUUG